rnacentral:rRNA from 1 species
GACGAACGCUGGCGGCGUGCCUAAUACAUGCAAGUUGAGCGAUGAAGAUUGGUGCUUGCACCAAUUUGAAGAGCAGCGAACGGGUGAGUAACGCGUGGGGAAUCUGCCUUUGAGCGGGGGACAACAUUUGGAAACGAAUGCUAAUACCGCAUAACAACUUUAAACAUAAGUUUUAAGUUUGAAAGAUGCAAUUGCAUCACUCAAAGAUGAUCCCGCGUUGUAUUAGCUAGUUGGUGAGGUAAAGGCUCACCAAGGCGAUGAUACAUAGCCGACCUGAGAGGGUGGUCGGCCACAUUGGGACUGAGACACGGCCCAAACUCCUACGGGAGGCAGCAGUAGGGAAUCUUCGGCAAUGGACGAAAGUCUGACCGAGCAACGCCGCGUGAGUGAAGAAGGUUUUCGGAUCGUAAAACUCUGUUGGUAGAGAAGAACGUUGGUGAGAGUGGAAAGCUCAUCAAGUGACGGUAACUACACAGAAAGGGACGGCUAACUACGUG